UACAUGGGGUGCAAACGUUGCUCGGAAUUAUUGGGCGUAAAGCGCACGUAGGUGGUCGCUUAAGUCGGAUGUGAAAGCCCUCGGCUCAACUGAGGAAGUGCAUCCGAAACUGAAUGGCUAGAGUAUGGAAGAGGGUCGCGGAAUUCCCGGUGUAGAGGUGAAAUUCGUAGAUAUCGGGAGGAACACCGGUGGCGAAGGCGGCGACCUGGGCCAAUACUGACACUGAGGUGCGAAAGCGUGGGGAGCAAACAGG
rnacentral:rRNA from 1 species